AUUGAACGCUAGCGGGAUGCCUUACACAUGCAAGUCGAACGAGUGGCGAACGGGUGAGCAAUGUCUCGGAACGUGCCCAGUCCAGGGGGAUAACUACGCGCAACGUAGCUAAUUCCGCAUACUCUUGGAGCCGCCGAUAUCGGGUUAGCGAGUUGGUGGGGUAACGGCUCACCAAGGCGACGAUCCGUAGCGGGUUUGAGAGGACGACCAGCCACACUGGGACGGCGACACGGCCCAGACUCCUACGGGAGGCAGCAGUGGGGAAUUUUGGACAAUGGGGGAAACCCUGAUCCAGCCAUCCCGCGUGUGCGAUGAAGGCCUUCGGGUUGUAAAGCACUUUUGGCAGGGAAGCGGUACCUGCAGAAUAAGCACCGGCUAACUACGUGCCAGCAGCCGCGGUAAUAC
rnacentral:rRNA from 1 species